UGAACGCUGGCGGCAUGCCUUACACAUGCAAGUCGAACGGCAGCACGGGUGCUUGCACCUGGUGGCGAGUGGCGAACGGGUGAGUAAUACAUCGGAAUGUACCUUGUAGUGGGGGAUAGCUCGGCGAAAGCCGGAUUAAUACCGCAUACGCUCUGAGGAGGAAAGCGGGGGACCUUCGGGCCUCGUGCUACAAGAGCAGCCGAUGUCAGAUUAGCUAGUUGGUGGGGUAAAAGCUCACCAAGGCGACGAUCUGUAGCUGGUCUGAGAGGACGACCAGCCACACUGGGACUGAGACACGGCCCAGACUCCUACGGGAGGCAGCAGUGGGGAAUUUUGGACAAUGGGCGAAAGCCUGAUCCAGCAAUGCCGCGUGUGUGAAGAAGGCCUUCGGGUUGUAAAGCACUUUUGUCCGGAAAGAAAUCCCUUGGGAUAAUACCUCGGG
rnacentral:rRNA from 1 species